CUCUCUCCCCGCUUGCCUUGCUUCCCUUUCUCAGAGCCGCACCCAGGUCCCCCACCCCCCAUGGCCCCCUUACCCACACCUCCAAGGGGCCAAGCCCCCACCCCAUCCUGCCAACCACCCCCCUACAGCAGGAGAGCUUAGGGAGGCUGAAAGCUUGGACAGCCAAGAGAGGGGGUCCACAUCUCCAUGUGGCUCUCUCUGGAGACAGAAAGCUAGACGUGGACCCAUACAAACCCUACUUGCAAGACUGGAAACAGAUCCAGGCUCAGAACAAGGAGGGAGUGGGGUGGAAUGGACAAGCCAAGACCCGGAUGAAACCAAGCAAAGGAAAAAAGAAAGGGACAGGGGUGGAGCCCCAGGAUGGGGAAGAGGAAAGGAAGGAAACCAGAAGCAGAGACAACAUAAGCUGGACAAUCCCGGGGGUGGGCUGGAAGUGCACAUAUUGACUUCCAAGAAACGUUGCUAAAAUGACCUAGGGUCAGACUCUGUGGCCUGACAUCUCUCUACCAGCUCUCUACUUGGAGUUAGGGCCAAGUGCCUGCCCGCCACCCCUGGGGCUGCAUGCCUGCCAGGACAAUGGGCACUUCAGCCUUCACUUGCUCUGGGACUGCGAGGCCAGGGAUCCAGCAGUCCCUGAAGCUGCCGAGAGAGGAAAGCCAUUUGCACUUCCUCCACAUCUGUAUUUGGGUCCUACCCCGUGGCUGACAGACGCUCCCAGUCCUGGGUGGGUGACAGCUAUCUCCACCCAGCCAGUGCCAGCCAAAGGGAAGGAGUGAUCUCCCGACACCUCGGAGCAUCCCACAAUGGCAAACAGCACCUCGAAUCCGAAUCCGACUCCACACCCAGUAAGGACUGCCUCCAGCCUGCAGCCUCACACAGACUCGCCCUAUGGGCCCACCCACAGGCAAGGAGCUGCCCCCCGCUGAAGCUGCUUUCUGGCCCAGCCACCCGACCCCGACCCCGAGGCCCGUCUGUAACAGCACAUGCCCUAUUCCGGUAGCCAAAGUGCUAGCCCCAGGUGCAACAUAAAGGUGGCUAACUGGGCUUGGGGCAUCCAAGCAAGUCCCCAACCCCACAUACUGACUCCCUGGUUCUGGUCUGCAGAACAGCCGCAGUGCCACUCAGACCUGCAUUUCCGCUUCUGGAGCAUUCUGCUGCCACACCCAUACUCUCACCCACGGGAGGAAGCGACUGCCUUAUGGCUCCAUGUCCCUGCCUCUGAAGCAGCCUUGGGUUCUCUCCAAGGCCCCUCACCAGAGCCAGCAAUGGAAUCCUCUCACCCACAGCUGAGCUCCUGCUUCUGAGGCAGACUCUCUCCCUCAGGGUGUGCGGGCACCCUGGGAAUGCCACCUGUGGGACUCCAGGGCCUCAUCCACACCAAAGGCCACCAAGUCAUUUUGUGGAAGGACACAGGGGAGGGAGAGACGAAGUGGGAACACCACCUGCUCCUGCCCAGCACUGGGAGGGCCUUGGAUGUCCAGCGGACAGUAGCUGUCCAUGGGGACUCUGAGGCCAGGCCAGCAUCCAUGGUCCCCAGUAGUGACCCACCCACUUGAACAGUAACUUAGCCUUGGCUUCUCCUAACCCUGCAGGAACCCCCUCACCACCUCCUCCUCUCAAAGACUGCCUGAGCCCGCCCCCCACCCCCCAGGCAAGUCAAUCAUAUGCCACUCCCUCCUGACCCCAGCACCUUGCAGACCUGUGAGUUCAGGGUAGUGGGUACGUAUGGCUGUCUUCCCACCAAUCUGGGGCCCCUCAGAGGCCACACAGGUCUGCCUCCCCUCUGUGUCACCAGACUGAGACACAAGGCCUGGCACACUAGAAACCCCCCAGAAAUGUUGGCAGAAAGAAUAAAUGGAUGGAUUUGGG